GAUAUUCUUCAGAAAGGCAAAAUAUGGUUAAAUUUCCAUUAAAAAUCACAGUUGAUUUCCAAUCAAUCCGAACAGCUUAAGUCUAGAACAUGAUGUCUCACAACUCUUAAUUAAUUCAAUUAAUUGUAUUAACUGUAUCUGAUGCUGAUUUCACACACGUGAUGUUUCUGAGCGACAUGUGACAAGUUGAAAAUUUGUAAACAUUGCGGAGUUCCAUAGUAAAAUAUAACUUACGGAUUAGGAUUAAGAGAUAAGUGUGACACACCUGAGAUUCUAAAUGAUGCACGGGGAUGGGAAAGAAAGGGAGUAAACUGGCAGCUGAUGAAUUAAAGGAAUUAUUAGAUUGCACA
rnacentral:lncRNA from 1 species